GAUGAACGCUGGCGGCGUGCUUAACACAUGCAAGUCGAACGGAAAGGCUCCUGCUUGCAGGGGUACUCGAGUGGCGAACGGGUGAGUAACACGUGGGUGAUCUGCCCUGCACUUCGGGAUAAGCCUGGGAAACUGGGUCUAAUACCGGAUAGGACCACAUUUUGGAUGGUGUGGUGGAAAGUUUUUCGGUGUGGGAUGAGCUCGCGGCCUAUCAGCUCGUUGGUGGGGUAAUGGCCUACCAAGGCGUCGACGGGUAGCCGGCCUGAGAGGGUGUACGGCCACAUUGGGACUGAGAUACGGCCCAGACUCCUACGGGAGGCAGCAGUGGGGAAUAUUGCACAAUGGGCGCAAGCCUGAUGCAGCGACGCCGCGUGGGGGAUGACGGCCUUCGGGUUGUAAACUCCUUUCGCUAGGGACGAAGCGUUUUUGUGACGGUACCUGGAGAAGAAGCACCGGCUAACUACGUG
rnacentral:rRNA from 1 species